rnacentral:rRNA from 1 species
GUAGCAAGGUUAACCGAAUAGGGGAGCCGAAGGGAAACCGAGUCUUAACUGGGCGUUAAGUUGCAGGGUAUAGACCCGAAACCCGGUGAUCUAGCCAUGGGCAGGUUGAAGGUUGGGUAACACUAACUGGAGGACCGAACCGACUAAUGUUGAAAAAUUAGCGGAUGACUUGUGGCUGGGGGUGAAAGGCCAAUCAAACCGGGAGAUAGCUGGUUCUCCCCGAAAGCUAUUUAGGUAGCGCCUCGUGAAUUCAUCUCCGGGGGUAGAGCACUGUUUCGGCAAGGGGGUCAUCCCGACUUACCAACCCGAUGCAAACUGCGAAUACCGGAGAAUGUUAUCACGGGAGACACACGGCGGGUGCUAACGUCCGUCGUGAAGAGGGAAACAACCCAGACCGCCAGCUAAGGUCCCAAAGUCAUGGUUAAGUGGGAAACGAUGUGGGAAGGCCCAGACAGCCAGGAUGUUGGCUUAGAAGCAGCCAUCAUUUAAAGAAAGCGUAAUAGCUCACUGGUCGAGUCGGCCUGCGCGGAAGAUGUAACGGGGCUAAACCAUGCACCGAAGCUGCGGCAGCGACGCUGAUGCGUUGUUGGGUAGGGGAGCGUUCUGUAAGCCUGUGAAGGUGUGCUGUGAGGCAUGCUGGAGGUAUCAGAAGUGCGAAUGCUGACAUAAGUAACGAUAAAGCGGGUGAAAAGCCCGCUCGCCGGAAGACCAAGGGUUCCUGUCCAACGUUAAUCGGGGCAGGGUGAGUCGACCCCUAAGGCGAGGCCGAAAGGCGUAGUCGAUGGGAAACAGGUUAAUAUUCCUGUACUUGGUGUUACUGCGAAGGGGGGACGGAGAAGGCUAUGUUGGCCGGGCGACGGUUGUCCCGGUUUAAGCGUGUAGGCUGGUUUUCCAGGCAAAUCCGGAAAAUCAAGGCUGAGGCGUGAUGACGAGGCACUACGGUGCUGAAGCAACAAAUGCCCUGCUUCCAGGAAAAGCCUCUAAGCAUCAGGUAACAUCAAAUCGUACCCCAAACCGACACAGGUGGUCAGGUAGAGAAUACCAAGGCGCUUGAGAGAACUCGGGUGAAGGAACUAGGCAAAAUGGUGCCGUAACUUCGGGAGAAGGCACGCUGAUAUGUAGGUGAAGCGACUUGCUCGUGGAGCUGAAAUCAGUCGAAGAUACCAGCUGGCUGCAACUGUUUAUUAAAAACACAGCACUGUGCAAACACGAAAGUGGACGUAUACGGUGUGACGCCUGCCCGGUGCCGGAAGGUUAAUUGAUGGGGUCAGCGCAAGCGAAGCUCUUGAUCGAAGCCCCGGUAAACGGCGGCCGUAACUAUAACGGUCCUAAGGUAGCGAAAUUCCUUGUCGGGUAAGUUCCGACCUGCACGAAUGGCGUAAUGAUGGCCAGGC